CGGGGCACAGAACACCACAGAAAACAUUGGUUUUGCAUUCAACGUCAAGGAACAUCAAGCCUGUCAACGAAAAAUGGUGACGAUCCGUUUUGCCACAUUACAUGCGCCAUCGUUGUGAUGUUGAGCGAUAGUGUUUGCUAGGGAGAAUGCAUUACACUGCACAGGCAUGCAACAGCACCCCGAAAUGAUGCCCCAAUCUUGUAGGCGCUAUUAUUACCUAGGUUAGGGUUGUGGCAGGGUUUGGGGGAAGGGGGGUAGGAUUGGGGGUAUCUAUUUUUAAGGGUUUUGGGAUUUCGGGUUUUGGGGUAUCCAGAUUCCUAGCUUUAGGGUUUCGCGGAUUCCUGGUUUAGGGUUUCAAACUCUAGGGUUGCGAGGGUUCCUGGUUUAGGGUUUCAAACUCUAGGGUUGCGAGGGUUCCUGGUUUAGGGUUUCAAACUCUAGGGUUGCGAGGGUUCCUGGUUUAGGGUUUCAAACUCUAGGGUUGCGAGGGUUCCUGGUUUAGGGUUUCAAACUCUAGGGUUGCGAGGGUUCCUGGUUUAGGGUUGCGCGGGUCCCGGGGUUUAGGGUUUCAGGGUAUCGCGGGGUUUCAGGUUUUUAGGGUUUUAGGGUUAGGGUUUUAGGGUUUUAGGGUUUUAGGGUUUUAGGGUUUUAGGGUUUUAGGGUUUUAGGGUUUUAC
rnacentral:lncRNA from 1 species